AUGGAUGCAUCGCAGGGUUCAAUAGUGAGGGUGCCGUCGAGGCGCACACAAGAGACGACGGAGGCCACGGUCGCGUUCGAGAUUGCCGGCUACAGCCUGCUCAAGGGCCUCGAUAGAGGUGAAUUCCUCUAUUCUCCACCAUUCUUCACCAACGGUUACGAAUGGUGCAUCCUCUACUAUCCCGACGGUUCCGGGGACGAGAGGAGCCAAGGUUUUGCCUCUGUCUUCCUCAAGCUCCUGACCAAGAACGCCCUGGUGAGGGCGUUCUACAAGUUGUGGCAUCUAGAUGCGGUUAGGGGGCACAUCAUUAAGCCGGUGUUCAGCAGCCAAGUGACAAAUGUGUUCGGCCCUAAAAGCCCAUCUUGGGGCUUUGAAAAGUUCAUGAAGACCACCGAGCUGAUGUAUGUGCGGAAUGAUUGUCUCGUGAUGGAGUGGGAAGUCCGUAUUAUCAAGGAAACACUAGAGAUCAAAGUGCCGCCCUCUGAGCUUUCAGAUAAUCUUGCAACAUUGCUAGAGGGGAAGAAAGGAGCAGACGUGACUUUCAAGGUUCAAGGGGAGAUUUUUUUUGCUCAUAAGAUUUUGCUUGCGAUGCGGUCAGCAGUCUUUGACGCCAAGUUCUAUGGGCCUAUGGCUAUGGGGGAGAAAGAGUCACAGGACAUAACUAUCGACGACAUGCAACCUCCUGUUUUCAAGGCAUUUCUUCACUUCAUCUACACGGAUUCAUUGCCUUCCAUGGUUGAUCUUGAUGAUAAUGAUAAAAUAGAAAUGGUUAAGCACUUACUUGUGGCUGCAGAUAAGUAUGCAAUGGAAAGGAUGAAGGUGAUAUGUGAAGGCAUGCUAUGCAAGAGUCUUGAUGUCGAGACUGUGGCGACAAUAUUAGCUCUAGCUGAGCAGUAUCAUUGCAGCAAUCUCAAAGAUGCUUGCAUUGAAUUUAUACUCUCUUCAAACAGAAUGAAUGAUGUGCUCGCAAGCCAAGGGUAUCUACAUCUCAAAAGAUCGUUUCCUCACAUCAUUGUUGAUUUGUUUGAGAGGACAGUUAAGUCCCGCAAAAUUUAG
rnacentral:rRNA from 1 species